rnacentral:rRNA from 1 species
GACGAACGCUGGCGGCGUGCUUAACACAUGCAAGCCGAACGGUAAGGCCCUUCGGGGUACACGAGUGGCGAACGGGUGAGUAACACGUGGGUGAUCUGCCCUGCACUUCGGGAUAAGCCUGGGAAACUGGGUCUAAUACCGGAUAGGACCACUGCCUGCAUGGGUGGUGGUGGAAAGCUUUUGCGGUGUGGGAUGGGCCCGCGGCCUAUCAGCUUGUUGGUGGGGUAAUGGCCUACCAAGGCGACGACGGGUAGCCGGCCUGAGAGGGUGACCGGUCACACUGGGACUGAGAUACGGCCCAGACUCCUACGGGGGGCAGCAGUGGGGAAUAUUGCACAAUGGGCGCAAGCCUGAUGCAGCGACGCCGCGUGAGGGAUGACGGCCUUCGGGUUGUAAACCUCUUUCAGCUAUGACGAAGCGCAAGUGACGGUAGUAGCAGAAGAAGGACCGGCCAACUACGUGCCAGCCGCCGCAGUAA